UGUGCUGUCUGAUGAAUUAUUCCUUAAG
rnacentral:piRNA from 1 species